rnacentral:tmRNA from 1 species
AUCCUUUGAAAAUCACCGAAAAUAGCUUAUAUUAAAGGUGUUGGGAGACCAACUAUGGCAAUAAACGGUUGAUGGAAUAAGCAUUACAGACCCGGGGGCAGUACCCGGCGCCUCCACCAAAGGAAUGAACUUUCGGUUUUAGGCAUUCUUUUUGUGGGGGUGAAACAGGAUCGACGUGUGUAGUAAAGAUUUGCUUUUUGCUCGGCAUGGUACCACCGUUAUCGGGCUAGGCAAAAUAAAUGCCGAUACAUUAGUAACUGCAGUAAAUGAUAAUGUUGGUGUUAGAGGUGACUUUAUCAACGACAAUCACGAAGCUGCAACAAUGGCUGCUUAAUCUGAUUCGAAAGAAUUUGAUUUAUGUAGUUUAAGUCGUUGUAUUUAGUUAAUAUAACGCGCGGUUCGGGGGCACCGGGCAACAGAAGCCCCCAUA